GAUGAACGCUAGCUACAGGCUUAACACAUGCAAGUCGAGGGGAAACGAUAGAGAAAGCUUGCUUUUUCUAGGCGUCGACCGGCGCACGGGUGAGUAACGCGUAUCCAACCUGCCCACCACUUGGGGAUAACCUUGCGAAAGUAAGACUAAUACCCAAUGACGUCUCUAGAAGGCAUCUGAAAGGGAUUAAAGAUUUAUCGGUGAUGGAUGGGGAUGCGUCUGAUUAGCUUGUUGGCGGGGUAACGGCCCACCAAGGCGACGAUCAGUAGGGGUUCUGAGAGGAAGGUCCCCCCACAUUGGAACUGAGACACGGUCCAAACUCCUACGGGAGGCAGCAGUGAGGAAUAUUGGUCAAUGGGCGCAAGCCUGAACCAGCCAAGUAGCGUGAGGGAAGACUGCCCCCACGGGUUGUAAAACCUCUUUUUGUUUGGGAAUAAAGUGCGGGACNCGUCCCGCAUUGCAUGUACCAUUUGAAUAAGGACCGGCUAAUUCCGUG
rnacentral:rRNA from 1 species